GGUUGUCAGCACUUUAAGCGAGGAGGAGGCUCUUAAGGUUAAUACCCUUGAUGAGUGGACGUUACUCGCAGAAUAAGCACCGGCUAACUCUGUGCCAGCAGCCGCGGUAAU
rnacentral:rRNA from 1 species